GUCAAUGGCCUAACGGCUGAACUGGCAACUUGGAGAAGUGGCAAGUCUUCCAGUAUGGGGAGCAAAACAGCUAUGGGUCAAGUCCGAUAUCUUUAGGAGGCGCGAAGCUCCUCUUAUUGUGAGGGCGAGUUUUAUAACACCAUAGGACUGGCCGUCCCAUAUGAAAAGAUUAUAUUAGAAUUGAAUGAAGCUUUGUUUAUAUAUUGAUAAUGACAGUAUAUAUAUCGUGUCUUGACUAAUUGCGUGCCAGCAGUCGCGGUAAUACGUAAGAGACUAGUGUUAUUCAUCUUAAUUAGGUUUAAAGGGUACCCAGACGGUCAAUAUAGCUUAUAAAAUGUUAGUACUUGACUAGAGUUUUAUGUAAGAGGGCAGUACUUGAGGAGGAGAGAUGAAAUUUCGUGAUACCAAAGGGACUCGGUAAAGGCGAAGGCAGCCCUCUAGGUAAAAACUGACGUUGAAGGACGAAGGCACAGAGAACAAACAGGAUUAGAUACCCAAGUAGUCUUUGCAGUAAAUGAUGAAUGCCAUAGGUUAGAUCUGAGUUGGUAGUCUAGUUGAGUUAGUUUACUAAACUAAUGAUCUAUACAAGCCAGCCUUAGAUUUGGUCUAUAAAUGAAAGUGUAAGCAUUUCACCUCAAGAGUAAUGUGGCAACGCAGGAACUGAAAUCACUAGACCGUUUCUGACACCAGUAGUGAAGUAUGUUAUUUA
rnacentral:rRNA from 1 species